rnacentral:rRNA from 1 species
CGCCCUUCAGAGGGGGACAACAGUUGGAAACGACUGCUAAUACCGCAUACGAUCUAAUCUCGGCAUCGAGGAUAGAUGAAAGGUGGCCUCUACAUGUAAGCUAUCACUGAAGGAGGGGAUUGCGUCUGAUUAGCUAGUUGGAGGGGUAACGGCCCACCAAGGCGAUGAUCAGUAGCCGGUCUGAGAGGAUGAACGGCCACAUUGGGACUGAGACACGGCCCAGACUCCUACGGGAGGCAGCAUG